rnacentral:rRNA from 1 species
AUGACUCUCGAGAGGCCAUCCAAAGAGCACGGGGUCGGUCCAAGACGGAUCUCACCUCUAGACGUCUUCAGCACUGUACACGUCGCGCGGAACGCUCUCAGAAUCCACUCGACGCAGAGCGCAGAUUCAAAUUGAGCUUUUCCCGCUCACCCGCAGUUACUAGGGGAAUCCUG